GUUGUCACCUUUGGAACCUCCCAGGCUAACAUAAGGAAGAGGCUGUGGAAGAGAACAUCACCCUUUCUGGAAAAGAGCCUGGAAACACUUCCUACAGAUGGCAGCCUAGUUUGUUCCAAACACACUGUUUGUUCUUCAAAGCAUCUGAGAGCAAGACGAAGUGAUGGAGCUGUAUCUGGGACUUGGGUGACCUCACUUAAGGACGAGAAUUCUUUGCAGCUCCUCAGUUUGAAAGAGUUUCAGAACAGUGUUAGGGAAAAUUAUAAUGAUAUUGUUUUCCCAAUAUAUAACUGAAGUAAAUUAUUUGAUUUAAUGUAAUUUGGACCUUGAUUUUACCUCUGUAUUAAAUGUCAGUAAGAAUAUAUUAUCUCUGUCUGAUUUACAGUUGUGACUGUAGUUCCAAUUAUUAUCUGCAUUUGGAUACCAAGCCUGGAAGACUUGCUGGUUCAGGGAGGAGAUGGGAGAUCCAUCGCACUUAAAACUGGUGACCAGCUCACCAAGGCCAGGACUGCUCUGAAGAAGAGAUAGCACUGCAGCAUGAAAUGGAUCUGCUGGAUUAGCAUAUUUCCUGAGCACACUUCAUCUUAAAAGCAGCCUGAGCUGCAAGUAGAGCAGCUCUCCCCUCCAAGACCACAGGAGGAUGAGAGUGAAGAAAAAAUGCAUUUUCUUAUUUUAGAUUGAGUUCUUAUUACCAUGGCACCCAAAGGCUCCCUUCAGGAAUAGAACCCACUCUGAUGAGUGCCUCAAAUUAUUAUUACUAUUGGCAUAAUUAAUCUGUAUUCCAAGAUAUGUAUUAGCUACUAAUUGGCUCUAACUGAAUAGUAAAUCCAAAUUUUAACACCAAGUGUUGUCUAUAAUUUUCCUCUUCUCCCUGCUCUGCUACACUGCUAAUCUAAAACUACCCUCUUUCAUUUAGGGAAAAAGAAAAAAAGAAAAAAAAAAAAAAUAAGUCAGGGUGGAUUUAGACCAGCUAUAAGGAAGAAUUAUUUUUACAAUGAGAGUUGUGAGAUACUGGCACAGGUUACCCAGAGAGGUGGUGGAUGCUUAAUCCCUGGAAACAUUGAAGGUUGAAUUGGGGCUCUGAGAAACCUGAUGUAGUUGAAGAUAUCCCUGCUCAUUGCAAAGGGAUUGGACCAGUUGACCUUUAAAGAUCCCUUCCAAAUCAAAUUAUUCUAUGAUUUUUCCAUCUCAGUUGAGCUGAAAAGCCACAUAGCCUCUGCCAUCCUUAUGAUUUUCAUAUUUACUGAAAACUAUGCAAAAGGAAUCUUUCAGUAGAAUAGAAUCUCUAAGUGGAGAAAAAGAUUUGGCAUAUUUCAUUGUGAGCUUUUCUGCGCAUAUUCCUUUUCUGUUCCUGCAGCUAAGCAGAGGCAGAAAGUAAAAGAUGAAGACCUAGAAGUAAAUUCCAGCUAAUAAAAAAGAGACUUUUAGUUGACUUAGGAAGUUU
rnacentral:lncRNA from 1 species